rnacentral:rRNA from 1 species
GAUGAACGCUGGCGGCGUGCCUAAUACAUGCAAGUCGAGCGAACAGACGAGGAGCUUGCUCCUCUGACGUUAGCGGCGGACGGGUGAGUAACACGUGGAUAACCUACCUAUAAGACUGGGAUAACUUCGGGAAACCGGAGCUAAUACCGGAUAAUAUAUUGAACCGCAUGGUUCAAUAGUGAAAGACGGUUUUGCUGUCACUUAAAGAUGGAUCCGCGCCGCAUUAGCGAGGUGGUAAGGUAACGGCUUACCAAGGCAACGAUGCGUAGCCGACCCGAGAGAGUGACCGGCCACACUGGAAGUGAAAGACGGUCCAGACUCCUACGGGAGGCAGCAGUAGGGAAUCUUCCGCAAUGGGCGAAAGCCUGACGGAGCAACGCCGCGUGAGUGAUGAAGGUCUUCGGAUCGUAAAACUCUGUUAUUAGGGAAGAACAAAUGUGUAAGUAACUAUGCACGUCUUGACGGUACCUAAUCAGAAAGCCACGGCUAACUACGUG